GCCCCGUUCCGACGCCCUCUACUUUCCCGUCGACCCGGGAGCCCUUCGGCCGCUUUUCCCGGAAGUGUGCCAAAUUCUAGAGGACGGAGAUGAAUUUCCAGACGAUUCUCUUGGUCUUGUGCGCCUGGGCCCUCCGGAGCCACCGCUCCCGCGCCCAGUGCCUGCGACCCGGGCCCCUGGACUUGCCAAAUAAAACGUUUCCGGACGUGACGCGGUUCCCAGGCGGGUUCCGGACCGUGGUGCGAGUCAACGACUACUACUCCGAACGAUCGCUGCUGGUCACCGAAUUUUACCACGCGGAAAAUUCCGCCGGAAGAGUAGAAGUGGAGCGAGAGGGGGAGAAGACUUCUUUCGUCUACUUCGACCGGACCCACGAAGUGUUUACCGUCCGAGAUUUCGGCUGUCGGACCACCCCGUCGGACCGAUUCCAGUUUCCCGCCGAAACGGACCCGUCCGAAAGCUGGGUGUACCGCGGAAGAUCCCGUUUGGUCCUGGGUCCCUCGGCCGCCUUAGUCCGGGCUUCGGAGGAUUACCGACAAGGCAAAGUGGUGUAUAUGGGAAAAUCGGCCGAGUCGGUGAGAGGAAUCCCGGCCGAGCUUUGGCAAGAAUGCGUGGAGGACGGACGAAUCAACGCCGAGUAUUACUUCGCCGAGGACACGUGGAAGAACGAAUUCGGAGAAUCGACUCCAAUUGCCCUGCCCCUGAGAGCGGUGUUCCAAGGAAGAAAUCUCUCCGACUCGGAAGUCUUCCAGACGCACGACUUCGUUCUCUUCCGACCCGGUACGCCGGAGCCCGACCGUCCGGCGGUCCCGGACGGCAAAGGGUGCCUCAGGUUGGCCCAAGAUCUGCCCAUUGGUCGGACCUUCGUCGGCACCGAUCUGUCUUAUUCCGCCGAAAUUCUGUACACUCCCGAAAGCGGAAACUACUCCUACGUCAGUUACGUCGACUUCGUCUACGACGGCGAUUCGGAGUACGUGGCCUUUCGCUACGGCAAUUGGACCCGGCCCUUCCGGGACGGAAAGAGACGAGUGGACGCCUAUCGUCGGAUCGUCUACGACACCCGAAAUGGUGUGACGUACGAGAUAGACGAAGACUCCCGACAAUGCCGAGUGUCGCGGCGAGAGGAGAUGGAGCCGACCAUCGAUCUUCCCGACGGAAUCCUACUUGGCAUAGGAAACGAACUGUUUUUGGACCAGAUGGAAAAAUUUCAAUACCUGGGACGGAAGAGAAGAAGAGACGUUUGGGUGGACGUCUACGAGUUGACUCAGAAACUGAACGAAAACUUGGUCAGCAUCUCCACCAGAUACUUCCAUCGCAACGAACUCCGGAAAGAAGAGACGCCGGUGGCCAUCUCCCUAGUGAAUUUGGACUCCGCCCGAAAAGUUUCUUCCGGCUUGACCAUCAACUUCUACCAAUUCUUGACCGAAAUCGACGACAAACUCUCGGCCUUCGACGUGGACUCGUGCUACCCCCGCAGCCGCCACCGUCGCUGGAUCUCUUUCUUCUUCGAAGUCCGCGGACAAGAAGAAUUGAUGAGGGACGCCGAACCCUACCUUCCCGUCGUCCGUCGGCGAGUGGCCGACAUGGUCAGGGACGCCACCGGUCUGGCCUGGACCCGAAUCUCCCGAGUGCUGGUGGACUUUGAGGUUUCCGGUUUGCUGGCCGACGUCUCGCUUCUGGAUAGACCCGAUUAUUUGUGGGAUUUCUCUUACGAUUCGGAAGGCUUCCUGGCGGAUCCAGAAGAUUCCGUGGGCAUGGUGUCCAAGCACCUGUGCGCCAAGUUCUGCCUGGAGUAUCCCGGAAUGUGCUACGCCUUCUCCUAUUGCGGAAAAACCUGUUACCUGAAGACGAAGAGCUCCUGGACCAAACGGGACUCUCCCGGAUGUCUGAUAUAUCGCCGGAAAACGGGUUACGAACCCCUUAUCACCACCGACUCCGCCCUGCAAAAGUUGAACUUGGCCCUCGAGAGCGGCGACCUGAAGAUAUCUUUCUCGGUCAAAGACGUGGCGGGAAAUUACAGAGACGUGGAGUUGUCCGUCUCCGCAUUCGACAGCCACGCCCGGGAUCCGGACGCCCGAUACACCAAAAUCGCCGACUUCGACAGUCACUACACCGAGUACAAAUACGGAUAUAAAUUGAAAAAGGGAGCCGACCACGUCCGUAAUCUGGGCAGUCUGCCCUACCUCACCUGUCAGAAAACCUGUCUGGCCGAUCCCUACUGUCAGUCGUUGUCUUCCUGCGCCGGAAUGGCCGAGUGUCUGACUAGCACCAAACACGCGGUGGAGGUUCCCGACCGGGAAUUGGUGAAGAAAAACGACUGCCUGGUCUUGACCCGCAAUUACAUGGACUCGUUCGUCAGACACGACGGCCUGACCAAAGCCACCACCGCGGCCAAAAGGCUGCCGAUAGACAAACAGGAAUUGUGCGCCAAAGCCUGUUUGCGGGACGACGAGGUGGACUGUCGUUCCUUCGACUUCUGUCCUUAUUCGGAACACCCGUCCGAUCGGUGCCUGCUGCACGCCGGCCGCCAUCCGGAUCCCCGGAACGAGAAGUUGGCGCUGGACCCCACCGGCCUGUGCGGCCAUUAUUCCAGAAACCACGUCCGCGACUUCCGCAAGCUAAAGAACAGGAUUCCGGUAGAUCCCGCCCAUUUGGCGGUGACGGGCGUGACGGCGGAAGGAUGCGCUCGACUCUGCGCGGAAGGGGUGGAAUUCCCCUGCGGCUCUUUCCACUUCUGUCGCGCCGGGGGGCGGGGAAAAGCCCGGUGCGGACUGAGGACCGAGAACGACGUCUCGCCCGCCACCGUCUCUAAUUCCUCCUGCGACACUUAUCUGCCGGCGGAAAGUUCCCCAGAAGGAAGGAAAGCCGGACGAAGAGGCGAAAGGAGCUAUUCUUCGGGAUUGACGGCGGGACUGGGCGUCUUCUUCUUCGUCUUGGGUUCGGGAUUCGCCGUGGUGGCUCUGCUGAUCUUCGGAAAAAUAACCGGAAGAAAAAUAUAAAUUCUCCAAUUGGUUCCGAGGUGUGACCCGAGGCGGGCGCUUCUUACCGACGGAGACCGCCUUCGGACCGCCUUCUCUCGGUUUUCGGGAGCCAAUCCAAUAUUUGUCGGUGUCGUUUGAUUAGCGGAAAUCCUUUCUCUCGUUAUUUGCGGCAACGUCCAUCCGAAACUCUAAACAAUGUCGAAAUAAUAAAUUUCUUUAAUACUUUUAUUAUAAAACUUGGUCGAAAUUUGACGACGGUCGACCGUAAUUCGAUGUACGCGAAGCCGCGUUUUUCGGUAGGAAUGAAAGAACUAAAUAUAAAAUAAUGUCCCUUAAGCGUCACCGUAAAAACUUUUACGAUGGAAAAUAUAAAUAAAAUAACUUAAAUCGUCAAUCUCCUAAUUUCUUCUCUGAUUCCGCACUCGUAACUAAAUAAGUUUAUCCUUAUAGUGUAUUAUACGGGCCGUGUCCGGGUGUUUUAUUUUGAAAACUAUGGUACGGAUGCGAAGAUAAAGUCGUACGAGGAACCGCGUCUAAUUGGGCAAUCGAUAAACUACAAAUAGUUCGGACCACAUACGAGCCAGUUAUCGGGACAAUAUGGAGAAUUUGCCUCUUCCGCAGUUUUAAUUAAAUCGUUAUCGCGCUAUUAUUAUUUUUUAUCGUUUGUUCGGUACGUAGACACUGCGAGAAGGUCUAACGACUACGACGACUCUAUUAA
rnacentral:misc_RNA from 1 species